rnacentral:rRNA from 1 species
AAAGGAAUUGACGGGGGCCCGCACAAGCAGUGGAGUAUGUGGUUUAAUUCGAAGCAACGCGAAGAACCUUACCAGGGCUUGACAUCCCUCUGACCGGCUUAGAGAUAAGCUUUCCCUUCGGGGCAGAGGAGACAGGUGGUGCAUGGUUGUCGUCAGCUCGUGUCGUGAGAUGUUGGGUUAAGUCCCGCAACGAGCGCAACCCCUAUUGUUAGUUGCCAUCAUUAAGUUGGGCACUCUAGCAAGACUGCCGGUGACAAAUCGGAGGAAGGUGGGGACGACGUCAAAUCAUCAUGCCCCUUAUGUCCUGGGCUACACACGUACUACAAUGGCCGUUAACAACAGGAAGCGAAACCGCGAGGUGAAGCAAAUCCCCAAAAACGGCCCCAGUUCGGAUUGUAGGCUGAAACUCGCCUGCAUGAAGUCGGAAUUGCUAGUAAUCGCGAAUCAGCAUGUCGCGGUGAAUACGUUCCCGGGCCUUGUACACACCGCCCGU